CAGACAAAGGCACAGCCGGCGAAAGCCGGUGUCGCAAAGCUAUGGGUCUAAACGGCCAUGAGCCGCACGACAGCCGGGCUGCCUA
rnacentral:ncRNA from 1 species